UACAGAGGUCCCAAGCGUUGUUCGGAUUCACUGGGCGUAAAGGGUGCGUAGGUGGCGGGGUAAGUUUGAUGUGAAAUCUCUGGGCUCAACCCAGAAAUGGCAUUGAAUACUAUCUCGCUUGAGGGUCGGAGGGGAGACUGGAAUUCUCGGUGUAGCAGUGAAAUGCGUAGAUAUCGAGAGGAACACCAGUGGCGAAGGCGAGUCUCUGGACGACUCCUGACACUGAGGCACGAAAGCUAGGGGAGCAAACAGG
rnacentral:rRNA from 1 species